rnacentral:rRNA from 1 species
AAUGGGGGAAACCCUGAUGCAGCAACGCCGCGUGAGUGAUGACGGCCUUCGGGUUGUAAAGCUCUGUCUUCAGGGACGAUAAUGACGGUACCUGAGGAGGAAGCCACGGCUAACUACGUGCCAGCAGCCGCGGUAAUACGUAGGUGGCGAGCGUUGUCCGGAUUUACUGGGCGUAAAGGGAGCGUAGGCGGAUUUUUAAGUGAGAUGUGAAAUACUCGGGCUUAACCUGAGUGCUGCAUUUCAAACUGGAAGUCUAGAGUGCAGGAGAGGAGAAGGGAAUUCCUAGUGUAGCGGUGAAAUGCGUAGAGAUUAGGAAGAACACCAGUGGCGAAGGCGCUUCUCUGGACUGUAACUGACGCUGAGGCUCGAAAGCGUGGGGAGCAAA